rnacentral:misc_RNA from 1 species
GUUUUGGAGGAGCAUAUGGAAAAUUCAGAUUCCUACUAAAAUAGCUCUUUUCAUUUGGAAGUUCCUUAAGAAAAGGCUACCAACAGGGGAAAAUUUACAUAAGGGGCUUUCUUUUAUUCCAGUUGAAUGUCCUUUAUGUGGUGAAAGGAAAACAAUGAAGCAUCUUUUUUUCCGGUGCCCAAGAGUGGUGUAAAUAUGGUUUCACUCUCCUUUCAAUUUACGAUCAACUCUAAUUAACCGGAUUUCUAUGAUUGAUUGUUGGUCGGAAAUUACAACCGGAUUAUCUCAACUCCAAGCCAUACAAGAUUAUCUUCCUCUACUAGCCUUCUUGUUGUGGCAUUUAUGGAAAUCCAGAAACAAGCUUAUCUUUGAGAAGCAGUAUAUGCGAUUCCAAGAGGUGGUUUCAGUUGCUGUCCAUUCUUUUGAAGAGUUCCAUCACACUCAUCUUUCUCCAAGAACAUCUUUCUUCCAGCCAUCUCAGCCUUCCCUAUUAUGGUCCCCUCCUGCAGUUAGAUGUUUUAAGAUUAAUUUUGAUGCAGCUUUGGCAAAGCAAAGAUGUGAAGGAGCUAUUGCAGCAGUACUUUGAGAUUCUAAUGGUCAACCUUUAGGGUGGUUAUGCAAGAAAGUAUUUAACCAAAUGAACCCUCAUAUACCGGAAGCUUUAGCAUGUAAACAGGCAAUUCAGUUGGCAAUAGAUAAAGGAAUCAAUGAGGUGAUUGUUGAAGGGGAUUCUUUGAUUGUUAUUCAGGGUAUCCAGUCUCAAGACCCACUGUUAGAGAUCAGAGGGAUCAUUUAGGAUAUUUUCAUCCUGUCUCAAUACAUCCAAUGAAUUAGUUUUACACAUGUUAAUAGAAGUUGUAACGAGGCUGCUCAUAGCCUAGGCUAGAAAUCCUUGCAUGACUCUUCUUUUUUGUAUAAUCCUAUGAUGCAAGUGAUGUUUGUUACCUCUUCGAUGCCCAUUUAGAGGCUAGUAAUGAAUUCUAUCUUUAGUUAAAA